GACGCAUUUGGGAACUAGUUCGCGUAGUUCGUAUUUAGGAGCGCUCUUAAGAACUAGUUCGUUCGCGAACUACACAAGACUAGUUUAUUGUGUUAAAUUAUUC